rnacentral:rRNA from 1 species
UACAGAGGUGACGAACGUUGUCCGGAAUCACUGGGCGUAAAGGGCGUGUAGGCGGUUGAUUAAGUCAGAUGUGAAAUCUCUUGGCUCAACCAGGAAAUUGCAUUUGAUACUGAUCAGCUAGAGUUCGGUAGAGGAAGGCGGAAUUCCAGGUGUAGCGGUGAAAUGCGUAGAUAUCUGGAGGAACACCUGUGGCGAAGGCGGCUUUCUGGUCCGAUACUGACGCUGAAACGCGAAAGCUAGGGGAGCAAACAGG